GACGAACGCUGGCGGCGUGCUUAACACAUGCAAGUCGAACGGUGAAGCGCCUUCCUUUUUGGUGGGUGUGGAUGAGUGGCGAACGGGUGAGUAACACGUGAGUAACCUGCCCCCUUCUUCUGGAUAACCGCAUGAAAGUGUGUCUAAUACGGGAUAUUCUGGGUCUGUCGCAUGAUGGGUCUGGGAAAGAUAUUGUUUCUGUGGGGGAUGGGCUCGCGGCCUAUCAGCUUGUUGGUGGGGUGAUGGCCUACCAAGGCGGUGACGGGUAGCCGGCCUGAGAGGGUGGACGGGCAGACUGGGAGAGAGACACGGCCCAGACUCAGACGGGAGGCAGCAGUGGGGAAGAUUGAACAAUGGGCGCAAGCCUGAAGCAGCGACGCCGCGUGAGGGAUGGAGGCCUUCGGGUUGUGAACCUCUUUCGCCAGUGAAGCAGGCCUGCCUCGUUUGUGGGUGGGUUGACGGUAGCUGGAGAAGAAGCGCCGGCUAACUACGUG
rnacentral:rRNA from 1 species